GCCAGGGUGGCAGAUAAAUGCAGUGGAUUUAAGACCCGCCUAUGAGUUACUUUUAACUCUCCUGGUA